GACGAACGCUGGCGGCGUGCUUAACACAUGCAAGUCGAACGAAGUGGCGAAAGGGUGAGUAACGCGUAAACAACCUGCCCUUCAGAGGGUGACAACAGUUAGAAACGACUGCUAAUACCGAAUACUUAAGGUGGGGAGUGCGUCUGGGUAGCUAGUUGGCGGGGUAACGGCCCACCAAGGCGAUGAUCAGUAGCCGGUCUGGGAGGAUGAACGGCCACAUUGGGACUGGGACACGGCCCAGACUCCUACGGGAGGCAGCAGUGGGGAAUCUUCCGCAAUGGACGAAAGUCUGACGGAGCAACGCCGCGUGAGUGAUGACGGCCUUCGGGUUGUAAAGCUCUGUUAAUCGGGACGCGGUACCGGAAUAGAAAGCCACGGCUAACUACGUGCCAGCCGCCGCGGUAAUUC
rnacentral:rRNA from 1 species